AAUCAACGCUGGCGGCGUGCCUCAGACAUGCAAGUCGAACGAUUAAGACUCUCUUCGGAGAGUGUAUAAAGUGGCGCACGGGUGAGUAACACGUAGGUAAUGUACCGAAGGGUGGGGAAUAACUUAGGGAAACUUAAGCUAAUACCGCAUAAUGCAGCGGCUCGACAUCGAGACAGUUGUUAAAGGAGCAAUCCGCCUUUUGAGCAGCCUGCGGCAGAUUAGCUAGUUGGUAAGGUAAUGGCUUACCAAGGCUACGAUCUGUAACCGACCUGAGAGGGUGGUCGGUCACACUGACACUGAAUAACGGGUCAAACUCCUACGGGAGGCAGCAGUCGGGAAUUUUGGGCAAUGGGCGAAAGCCUGACCCAGCAACGCCGCGUGAAGGAUGAAGUAUUUCGGUAUGUAAACUUCGUAAGAAUAGGAAGAAUAAAUGACGGUACUAUUUGUAAGGUCCGGCUAACUACGUGCCAGCAGCCGCGGUAAU
rnacentral:rRNA from 1 species